UGAGCUGAAGAACCGCCCNUCGACGCUAUGUCGAGCUCUUGUCUUGUCAUCGAGGGAGAGUAUAACACGGUUCUUGGUCCUAAAUAAUUCCACCAAGCCUGCNUCGCCNUCCGCAGUNUUAGAGAGAUAAAUAANGCNACGCUGGGUCCUUACACCUUACCGNAUGCUCGAUGCGCAGUCCGGCCGNGUCUCAACUACCGAUUAGCGNGAUGCCUAACGUCGGAUUUCAAAUUCGGCGCAUAUUAUAACGUUGGGCGUCUGUUAAAACACGCCUGAUAGCCAGACCAUGAGGCCGUGAUAUUUCUAUUUACAUAGUUCNUAGNACUUGGUUGCAAGAAUCUCCGCGGAGAGACGUCAACACGCAUUGAGAGUACACGUCAGCGACUUUUGUGCAAGUACCUUUGAUAANAAGUGCCGUUAAGUAGGCUUGUUUGUUCNAAGAACGUGAGAGUGCGUAAUGCAGAUNUUCCCNAGCUGUUUGCUCACGGGACAGUUGAACACAUUGCGCGUCAGCCAUCAUAGUAGUGGCAGUGGAAAUUUACGCAGCACUGAGUCAGGACAGGAACUUAGGCCCGCCCACCUUGAGUGUUAGUCAAACACACGUUGCAACUGCCUUCCAAUGGCCGACUGAAAAGACGCUCGGUUGCGAGGGAAUGGCUAAANAGCGAAGAGUAGUUUUAAGGACUAAACCCGCUUUGGGAUAAGGGUCGCCAACGGCCACCCGUUAAUACAACAGAAUUUCGUUCAAAAUCCUUGGGGAUUUCGCUCCGGGGGAGCUCCCUAUAACAGUAUAGUAGCCUAUGGAGGUGAAACCUGGCCAAGUCGUAAAAACGGCCUGAUUGCGCACGUUAUUGAAACCCCGGACCCUUGCGAGGAGGUAGAUUACCGGAGAUUCGGCCNAGAUGCAAUUUCAAAUAGAGC
rnacentral:rRNA from 1 species